CAGGUAGGCGGCCUCGUAUGUCCUUUGUGAAAUCCCUCGGCUCAACCGAGGAAUUGCAGGGGAAACUGCGGGGCUUGAGUCCGGGAGAGGGGAGUGGAAUUCCCAGUGUAGCGGUGAAAUGCGUAGAUAUUGGGAGGAACACCAGUGGCGAAGGCGGCUCCCUGGACCGGUACUGACGCUGAGCUGCGAAAGCUAGGGGAGCGAACG
rnacentral:rRNA from 1 species